rnacentral:lncRNA from 1 species
GCGUGCGCUCAGCCCAGCGUGAGCGGCACCUGCUAGUCCGGGCUCGCCGAGGAGGCCGCCUCGCCGGGCUCUCACCGCCGCGCCCGCCCGAGCGGCUCAGAGGGCUUCGAGGGCUCCGAGGUCGCCCAGCAGCCGCGGUGGCCCCGCUGCCUGCAAGUCCGCCUGGCUCCGUGUCACGUGUCAGUGCCCGAGGCAGAGACUGAGAAAAAAACGCGCUUCAUUCCUUCUUCCACCGCCAUACUGUAUUUUCCUAAAUCUCAUUUUUAUUCCAACAUUUUACUCCCGCUCGUGGAAGGUUUUUCUGGAAAAAAAAAAAAUGAAGUGCGGUUUGGUUUCCUUGUCAACGGAGGAUGAAGUGAACAGCACAACAGCUCGCAGAGAGCAG